rnacentral:rRNA from 1 species
AACGAACGCUGGCGGCAGGCCUAACACAUGCAAGUCGAACGAGAAGCCACCUUCGGGUGGUGGAAAGUGGCAGACGGGUGAGUAACACGUGGAACGUGCCCUUUGGUUCGGAACAACUCUGGGAAACUGGAGCUAAUACCGGAUAAGCCCUACGGGGGAAAGAUUUAUCGCCGAAGGAUCGGCCCGCGUCUGAUUAGCUUGUUGGUGAGGUAAUGGCUCACCAAGGCGACGAUCAGUAGCUGGUCUGAGAGGAUGAUCAGCCACACUGGGACUGAGGCACGGCCCAGACUCCUACGGGAGGCAGCAGUGGGGAAUAUUGGACAAUGGGCGCAAGCCUGAUCCAGCCAUGCCGCGUGAGUGAUGACGGCCUUAGGGUUGUAAAGCUCUUUCGCCAGGGACGAUAAUGACGGUACCUGGAUAAGAAGCCCCGGCUAACUUCGUGCCAGCCGCCGCCGUAA